GGGAAAUCUCCAAACCCUAACCCUUAGCGUGUACCUCUCAAAUCGUUUUUAUUUUUUUUUCCUCAUUUUUUGAUUUCGUGGGUCAAUAUUUCAGUGGCGCGUGGUUUAAAAGAGGUUGCGCGUGGGACUACGCUCUGUCCGAUUCAUGAUUUCUUGUUCAUCUGAAUUGCGAAGCCCUCGCCGGAGAACGGCCGGAUUUCUACCGGACUAUUCAUGGCAUCCGCAGUCUUAGCGAAUCGUAACGAACCGAAUUGGACUCAGCCACAGCCUAGAGGCGGUGCUAAAUUCAUGGGCAAAGUCCCUUUCUCUAACCCUAACCCCAAAUUGUCCAAAAAACGACAAUUUCAAGCGGCUCUGCCUGUCGUCAACUUCGAUGGGCCACCAGCCUUAAUGCAACCAGCUGCAUCGGACGACGCGUCCUCGAUAAACAGGAGGCCGGCGAGCGAUUUCAACAGCGGUGGUUAUGUGACGUUUAAUAUAGCGUCGUGUUCGAAGAAGGAACUGGUGGAGCUGAAGAAUCGAUUGGUUGCAGAGCUGGAACAGAUCCGGCAGUUGAAGAAUCGAAUCGAUUCCUCUGAGUUCCAGAUCAGAUCUAGCUCCAAUUUCCACAAGAAGAAACCAAUCGCAACAAGCAACAGCAACAAGAAAAUAUUGGGGAACAAGCGGCCGUUUCCAGCAACAAAUUUUGGAUUUGGGGCCAAAGAUAUGAAGCGAUCGGUUCAUCCGGAGCAUGGUCAAUUGAUGAAGAAAUGUGCCCAGAUUUUGACGAAAUUGAUGAAGCACAAGCAUGCAUAUGUAUUUAAUGUGCCGGUGGACGUUGAGGGUAUGAAGCUUCAUGAUUAUUAUGAUAUAAUCAAGAAUCCUAUGGAUUUGGGUACCGUCAAAUCUAAAUUGGGGAAGAAUCUGUACGAUUUGCCCACGGAUUUUGCUGUUGAUGUGAGAUUGACCUUCAACAAUGCCAUGAAGUACAAUCCUAAAGGGCACGAUGUGUAUAAUCUUGCCGAGCAGUUUCUCUCCAGGUUUGAGGAAUGGUACCGACCCAUUAGAGAUAAAGUUGUUGAGGAUGAUCAGGAUCAGGUGCAUGAGCAUGAGCAUGAGCAUGAUCAGGUUCAAGAAGUGCAAGCUAGUUCUUGGGAUCACGUACCUAAUCGAGGUGACAUUGAUAGGGUAAAGAAAGAUCAGGAAAAUAUAAUGCAAAUUAUGCCUAAAUCUGACCCAAUUGGGAAAUCAUUGCAACCAAGUGGGUCUAAUCCUCAAUCUACAUCACAGUUGCCUGUGCGGACUCCUUCCCCAAUGCGAGCUCCUCCAGUUAAGCCUGUUAAGCUACCAAAACCCAAGGCCAAAGAUCCUAACAAGAGGGAGAUGUCUCUUGAGGAGAAGCACAAAUUGGGAAUUGGGUUGCAGAGUUUGCCUCAAGAGAAGAUGGAGCAAGUGGUGCAGAUAAUAAGGAAGAGAAAUGGGCAUUUGAGGCAGGAGGGAGAUGAGAUUGAGCUAGAUAUUGAAGCGGUUGACACAGAGACGCUAUGGGAGCUUGAUCGGUUUGUGACUAAUUAUAAAAAGAUGGUUAGUAAGAUAAAACGUCAAGCAUUAAUGGGUAUCAACAAUAUGGCUACUGCUGCUAGCGAAGGCAAUAAGGAGGUACUUGGAAAUGAGAGGAUGGAUGUUGGAGCUGAGGCAAAGAAGCCAAAGAAAGGGGAUGCUGGUGAUGAGGAUGUGGACAUUGGUGAUGAGAUGCCAAUGAGCAAUUUUCCUCCUGUGGAGAUAGAGAAGGACAAUGGGCAUGCGAGUAGCAGUUCUAGCAGCUCUAGUAGUUCGAGUGAUGAAUCUUCCUCAUCCAGCGGUAUGAUUUUAAAUCCAUUCUAAUCAAAUCUUGAAGGGUAAUGUUGCGAAAUUUUGCUGUCAGAUAUGCUAAAUAUGAGUUGGAAAAAAAAAUUGCAGAUUCAGAUUCAGGAAGCUCUUCAGGGAGUGAUUCUGAGGAUGCACAUUCGUAGGACAUUGAGAUAGAAGGAUGUGGGAUUUUGCUUUGGAGCAUUGCAGAGUAGGUUCUUGGAUUGUCGUUAGACAUGGAAAUGGAAGAGGUACUGCAUUUUGUCGUUGAUUUAGGAAAAACCAUAUCUUGAAUUUUGGCAAAAUAGCCUGAUGAGGCUUGGAAAAAUGUUUUGUACAGGGGAGGGUUCUCGAUUGUGGUGUUGUUUGUUGGUUGCAGUUUGGAAGAAUUGAUGGAAAAUGGGUGAUAGGGGGUUUUACAAUGGCUGGAGGCUGCCUGCAACUUGGAAGUAUUUUCUUUUUGUGUAAAAAGACUGAUCAAAUUUGUAGGUUAGAGGUAGGAAAUGCAGUAAAAAGUUUAGGAGAACGGUAGGGCUUUAGAGGAAGAGGUAAGGUAGAGAUGAAUUACUCUGUACACAUUACAACUCUUAAUACAAGCUUUUUAGCUUCACUCAGCAUUGCUUUUUCUUUGGGUAGUGAUUGGCUGAUAAAAAAGUGCUUAAGCAAAGUGUAUAUAUAUAAAUAUAAUCCGUACUCUCAUUUCCAAAUGUCAAGCAGUGCACAAGGACAGCAGAGAGGUGGUGGCCUUAAAAGUAAUAAGCCAGCACAUUCUUGCCUUGGCAGAACAGUUUGGUCUUCGCAUAUGCAUCAUCAUAUUUAAAGGAAAGGACACUUUUCAUGAAGUAAUUUGUUGCUGGUGGGGAAAGAAGAAAUUCCAGCUAGGUAAUAGGCUUGAAGGUGAGGAGGAAAGGAUAAAAAGACACAAUACUGUUAAGCAUGUGAAAUUGGGGAUUUGCCAGGCUUUAUUUUGGUUGGUUGGAAUGGGAAAGGAACAUAUUAUGCCUCCUCGUGGAAAAAAAAGCCUGAUUGCCUCAUGUGACUUUUCAUAUAUCUAUGGAAAAUGUGUAAUUAAAGGGGGCUUGAUACACAUUGCCAGCGUAUUAUUCUCCAUUAGCACAGACCAAGCAAGGUGUAACAUUCCAUGGCCACGAUGACUUUUCUUCAAAGUGAUUGUACACGUUGUUAUACAUGCUUAUGCAUAGGCACCUUUUAUCUUUUAAAAAAGGAGGAUUGAAUUUGUAUUUAUUUUGAGGGGCCAAAUAUUCUUGUAGAUAGUCACUAUCAUUACAAGUCAUCUAACUGGGGAUAGUCUUCAUGGGUAUGAAAGGAAGCCAAAAACCAUUUGAACUUUUUAAGGUUUGAUACAAAGGGAUGAUGACUCAGAAAUUCUUCAAAUUCAAAGGACAAAUAUAUAUGUGGCUUGAACGCCAUUGAAUCAAUUAGCGAAAGACAUGAGUUGCCAUGCCCACCACACCACAGAGUUAGUAAAACUAAUCCCAAUUCAUGUUCACCUACUGGGUCCAAAAAUGAUUUCAAAUGAGUGAGAAAAUUAUAGGGAAUUAAUUUUGGUAAUUUGGUUCCCUAAUAAAAUUUAGUAAUGUGAUUAGUGUUGGUUCACCUAUCUAAAUCACUAAUUAAACAAAAAGUCUU
rnacentral:misc_RNA from 1 species